rnacentral:rRNA from 1 species
UCCACACCAUAAACGAUGACAGCUAGUUGUUGGCAUGCAUGCAUGUCGGUGACGCAGCUAACGCAAUAAGCUGUCCGCCUGGGGAGUACGGCCGCAAGGUUAAAACUCAAAGAAAUUGACGGGGGCCCGCACAAGCGGUGGAGCAUGUGGUUUAAUUCGAAGCAACGCGAAGAACCUUACCCGCGUUUGACAUGCCCGGUUUGAUUUUCAGAGAUGAAUUUCUUCAUUUAGUUGGCCGGUGCACAGG